rnacentral:rRNA from 1 species
AUGCCAUCACGGCCACGCGCUCCAGGUUCCACCGCCAACUCCAUCGCCGCUGAGAUGGGUGCCCAGGGAAUCCCUGCCCGGGGCGGCUCCCCUCCCCCUCCCGUCACCACCAAGCACGACGCGUCCAGCACUGGCGAAGCCCAAAGCGGCCCCGUCCGCUCCCCGGCCCCGGAAGAAAGCGACCGCCCGGUGGAGGAGGAGAACUCCCCCGCGGAAAUCCCUUGGUACGAUAAAAUUGAGAACAUAGAUGAGGAGUACCGCCUGUACUUGAGUUGCAUGCGCGUGGUGAAUGGCCACCAGAUGGUGGUCGUGCCGGAGGGUGGGCUGGACGCGAAGCUGGUUCCACGGAAGAAGGAUGGGAAGAGAGCAGCUUCCCGUGCUACUUCAGGGAUUGGGAAGAAGGAGGAGGGGAAGGGGAAGGUGGCGGCGAUCGCCGCGGGUGGGCAUGCGCUGAAGUCUCCCGCGGGCGAUUCCACUACGCAUCCGCAAAAGAUUCAGAAGGAGAAGAAGAAUGGAUGGAGCAAUGGUGCUAAGAAGAUCAAAGUGGCGGAGAAAGAAGAGAACCCGUCGGCAGAGCCGCAUCGGGAAAGACUCAACACUGCUUGGGAGAAGGGGAAUGUGGAGCCGAAGCUGCCUAUGGAAACACUGAAUACUGUGAAGAGGAAAAGGAAAUCAAGUGAUGUCCAAAACGCUACUGCUUCGAAGGGGAAGGAGAAGGUACCGACGAUCAUCACGGGUGAGUCUGCGCGGAAGUCUCGUGUGUGCGAUUCCACUACACAUCAGCAACAGGUUCAGAAGGAGAAGAAUGGAUGCAAAAAUGGUUCUAAGAAGAUGAAGUUGGUGGAGGAAAAAGGGAAGCCAUCGAAGGAGCUGCCUGUGAAAACACUGAAUAUUGUGAAGAGGAAAAGCAAAUCAAGUAAUGUACAAAAUGCCGAGUCUCGUACUGCUUCGAUCCAUCUUGAUGCUCAAUAUGUAAGCAGCUUCACCGAGGUCUUUCUUUGA